UGUGCUACAUGACAAAAACAUAUAAUUCCAUUAGCUGGAGCGUCGAGGAUAUCCGCUAACGAUGGUAGAAACUUCCAAACACUGCUUACAUGCGCUAUCCUUGCUACGUGGCAAAAUUGUUAAGCUUAACAUGUGAUUCCAUUAGCUGGAGUAUCGUGGAUAUUUGCUAACAAUGCUAUCGAUAGAAACUUCCAAACUCUGCUUAGGAGUAGUAGCCGUAGUAGUAAUAAUAUAUUUACCUUAUCUGCGCUGUCGUUGCUACGUGACAAAAUUGUUAUCAUGAACAUUAAUUUAAACAUGUCAUUGAAUAGUUAGAAAUCCUAAUCCUUUGAUCAUGUGCAGUUUUAAAAUAUCUGUAGAUCAUUUUUGCUGAAUUGGUGCUGUACUUGAUUAACAGAUCAUUAACAAUGACAACAAACAGGAAAGCCCCUGAAAGAGAUGCCCUUGAACAUGUGGUCAAGGCUAUUGACAAGACCGCACACUUGGAAGUGAAAUUCAUAAACUCUGUCAAAGGUCAAGGUGUGUUUGCCAAAUCCCACUUUGAAAAAGGAAACUUUGUGGUGGAGGACCGAGGCCAAUUAAUAAAAUCUGAAGAAUCUCAAAGGAGGAGGAGAGUAUAUCAUAGUCAAUGUGCAGUCUUCCUGUUCGAUUUCUACUGGCAAGAAAGAUUAUGGUGCAUUGAUGCAGCUCAAGAAGAUGGCAGCUUGGGAAGAUUAGUUAAUGAUGAGAACAUCCGUCCCAAUUGCAAAAUGAAAAAGCUCAUAGUAGAGGGGAAGCCACACCUCUGUCUUUUCGCCCUGAGGAACAUUAUUCCUGGAGAGGAGAUUACGUAUAAUUAUGGAGGAACUGACUGGCCAUGGAGGAAUAAGAUUGAAGAGGAACCAGUUGAGACCAUGUCUCCUGCAGUAGAGGCCCCUGAAACAUCUCCGCAGCUUUUAGAGGCCCCUGAAACAUCUCCGCAGCUUGCAGUGCUAUCAUCAGUGUCCGAGAAAAAGAUUGGAAAGAAACGUCUUAUGACCAAGUCUGCCGCAGUAGAGGCCCCUAAAACAUCUCAGCCGCCUGCAGUGCUUUCGACAGUGUCCGAGAAAAAGAUCGAAGAGGAACCCGUUGUGACUAAUUCUACAGCAGUAGAGGCCCCUCAAACAUCCCAGCAGCCUGCAGUGCUUUCGUCAGUUUCCAAGAAAAAGAUUGGAGAGAAACGUACUGUGAUUGAGUCUGGAGUAGCUGACAGUUAUGAAACACCUGAACACUGUGGUCUGCUUUCGCCCAAGAAAAAGGAGUCCUCAGACCAAGACCAACCUUAUGUCCCCAAACUGAGGAGGACCAAAAGCAUUCAGAUUAACAGACAAACCGAUUUUGAUUCCUAUGAGCUUUUUGAGACAUCAGAUGAAAGUGAAGAAGAAUAUGUUCCUGAUACAAGCGUGGAUUCAUCUGAUGAAACGGACACCAGUGACGUUUUUGAAACAUCCAAUCAGAAGAAAAUUACAUUAAGGGGACGCUCACUCGUACGAAAGGGCAGUGCUUUGAAACGGAAAAGGCACCAUUCCAGAAGUGUAUCCUGUUGCCGAACACAUUCUUUUGGUGGACAGUCAUCAGAAACUUCACACACUGAAGACCCUCAUGGAAGCUGGACACUGGUUUGUCCUGACAGUACUACUUCCCCCACUUCAGAUGUAGCUGACGACUUACUUACCGUACCUGCUGUCUGUAAAAAAGAGGAUGGAUCACGACAAUAUAACAAAAAACAGUACUGUUUAUACUGUAAGAAGGGAUUUAUAAAAAUGGCCAGGCAUUUAGAGCGUGCUCAUAAAAACGAGAAAGAAGUUGCACAGGCUGGGUCUUUUCCAAAAGGUUCUAAACAAAGAAGACUGCAUCUGGAACAUUUGAGAAAUAGAGGCAACUUCGCCCACAAUUCUGAGGUCUUAAAUACUGGUGUUGGAAAGCUUGUUCCUCGGAAACAACCAAAAGAUGAUUCUAAACCCAGAGAUUUUGAUCACUGUAUAUAUUGUCAAGGCUAUUUCACAAAGAAAGUUAUGUGGCGCCACAUGAUGAUAUGCAAGUUUAAGCCUAGUGGCCCUACGAAGCCUGGCAAAACACGGGUGCAAGCACUUUGUGCUUUUGCUGUACCACCACCACCUGGAGUCAAAGCAGAAUUCUGGAAGGUCCUAAACCAUAUGAUUCAAGAUGACGUUUACUUUGCAGUUAAAUCUGAUGUCUGGAUCAUGGAGUAUGGUGUGCAUUUGUAUAACAAGCAUGGAUAUGAUGUUGGCAAACAUGAAUAUAUCCGUCAGAAAAUGAGGGAACUGGGAAGGCUUUUGAUUUGUUCGAGGAAAACCACUCCCUUGAAGACCAUCGAAGAUCACAUGAAGCCUGAAAAUUUCAUGCAUGUUGUGCAAGCUGUGCAACUCGUGGCUGGCUUUGUGUCUGAAUCCAGCACCUACAAGCGUCCAAGUCUUGCACUAAAAAUUGGGCAUAGUCUGGUGAAGAUAUCGCUGCUUCUUGAAGCCCGUGCAAGUAUGCAAAACAACCAACCAGCAGCAAAAGAUGCUCGUAGGUUCCACUCAGUGUACGAAGCCAGAUGGAACGAACUCAUUUCAGCUGCAUCACUGAGAACAAUGCAUGAAUCGAAAUGGAAUGUUCCUCAGUUGAUUCCGUUCACUAAGGAUGUUCAGAAACUCCACUCCUAUUUGGACAUGCAGCAAGAACAGUUUUACAACGAACUGUCCUCAGAGCCAUCUAAAAAGACUUGGGUACAUCUGACUAAAAUCACUUUGACACAAGUCAUGAUGUUCAACCGACGUAGAACAGGAGAAGUUUAAAAAAUGCCCCUCUCUACCUAUUUUGCUCCAAAUCCAGUAGAUCUGCAGGAAGAUGUGGGUAUGGCGCUUUCAGAGCUAGAGAAAAAACUCUGUCAGCAUUUCAGGAGGUUGGAGAUACGAGGAAAAAGAGGAAGAAAGGUCCCUGUCCUCCUAACUCCAGAAAUGCAGAGAUCGUUGGACCUCCUUGUUGCCAAGCGACAUGAAUGUGGGAUUCUUAAGGAAAAUGGCUACCUAUUUGCCAGGCCGUCUGUAUUGACCUGCUACCGUGGUUCUGAUUGUAUCAGAGAUUUUGCCAAGGUCUGUGGUAUUGCAAACUACACAAGUCUCACUUCUACAAAACUGCGCAAGCAAACCGGAACACUCUCUCAAGUUCUCAACCUCAGUAAUACAGAGCUGGACCAAUUAGCCAAUUUCCUUGGCCAUGAUGUCAGAGUCCAUCGGCAAUUUUACAGGCUGCCUGAAGGGACCCUUCAACUUGCUAAAAUUAGCAAAGUCCUCUUGGCUCUUGAACAGGGGCGUUUGGCAGAAUUCAAAGGCAAAGGCCUGGAUGACAUCACAAUCGGUCCAGAAGAGAGUGUGAACCUUGACAGUGACCAUGAGGCACAGGAGAAUGUAGACAGUGACACUGAGGUACAGCGUGAGUCUGACACACAAGGGGGCGCCAGCUACAUUCCAUCGCCUUAUGGAUAGGGUACUGGAGGGGGCCCGGGAAUACGCAUCAGCAUACCUUGACGAUGUGGUGGUCUUCAGUCGGACGUGGAAAGAUCAUCUGACCCAUGUCCGGGAUGUUCUGCAGAGGAUCAAGACAGCCGGACUGACGGUGAAUCCAAAUAAGUGUGCCAUGGCUCAAUGUGAGGUACAAUACUUGGGGUAUGUUAUUGGUGGGGGUACCAUUAAGCCCCAGUUGAGUAAAGUAAGUGCCAUUCUAGACAUCCCAAGACCAACUACGAAGAAGCAGGUGCGUUCUUUCCUGGGUGUAGUAGGCUGGUACAGGAGGUUUUUACCCAACUUUGCCAAUAGAGCUGCCCCAUUAAUUGAAUUGACCCGUAAGUCCGGUGCUAACCAAGUUCCCUGGUCUGAAGAUUGUGACAAGGCUUUUAAUGAUUUGAGGAGUUGUCUUUGCAGUGAUCCUAUUUUGCAGAAUCCUGACUUCAGCCAGCCAUUCACCGUGCAGACAGAUGCCUCAGGAGUAGGCCUUGGUGCGGUGUUGCUGCAGGGGGAGCCAGGACAGCAAAAGCCGGUGGUGUACCUCAGCCGAAAACUCUUCCCACGGAACUCCGGUAUUCAACGGUGGAGAAAGAAUGCCUGGCGAUCAAGUGGGCCCUGGAGUCGCUGAAAUACUACCUGGUGGGCAAGGACUUCAUCCUGGAGACAGAUCACCGCGCUCUGAAAUGGCUACAUCGGAUGAAGGACACCAACUCCAGGGUGACCCGGUGGUACAUCUCGCUACAGC